CACGUAGGGGGCAAGCGUUGUCCGGAUUUAUUGGGCGUAAAGAGCUCGUAGGUGGCUGUGUAAGUCGGGUGUUAAAUCCCCAGGCUCAACCUGGGACACCACCCGAUACUGCACUAGCUAGAGUCCGGUAGGGGGAGCGUGGAAUUCCUGGUGUAGCGGUGAAAAUGCGCAGAUAUCGAGAGGAACACCUGCGGCGAAGGCGGGGUUGCUGGGCUGAUACUGACGCUGAGGCGCGAAAAGCCAGGGGAGCGAACGGG
rnacentral:rRNA from 1 species